GCGGGUGUAGCUCAAUUGGUAGAGUACAAGCUUCCCAAGCUUGGGGUCGCGAGUUCAAACCUCGUCGCCCGCUCCA
rnacentral:tRNA from 2 species